rnacentral:rRNA from 1 species
AUUGAACGCUGGCGGCAUGCCUUACACAUGCAAGUCGAACGGGGGUAGCAAUACCCUAGUGGCGAACGGGUGAGUAAUGCAUCGGAACGUACCCAGUUGUGGGGGAUAACGUAGCGAAAGUUACGUUAAUACCGCAUACGCACUGAGGUGGAAGGCGGGGGACCUUCGGGCCUCGCGCAAUUGGAGCGGCCGAUGUCGGAUUAGCUAGUUGGUGAGGUAAAAGCUCACCAAGGCAACGAGCCGUAGCUGGUCUGAGAGGACGACCAGCCACACUGGGACUGAGACACGGCCCAGACUCCUACGGGAGGCAGCAGUGGGGAAUUUUGGACAAGGGGCGAAAGCCUGAUCCAGCCAUGCCGCGUGAGUGAAGAAGGCCUUCGGGUUGUAAAGCUCUUUCGGACGGAAAGAAAUGGCUUCGGUGAAUAAUCGGAGUCGAUGACGGUACCGUAAGAAGAAGCACCGGCUAACUACGUGCCAGCCGCCGCAGUAA